rnacentral:rRNA from 1 species
GACGAACGCUGGCGGCGUGCCUAAUACAUGCAAGUCGAGCGAAGUUUUUCUGGUGCUUGCACUAGAAAAACUUGGCGGCGAACGGGUGAGUAACACGUAAAGAACCUGCCUCAUAGACUGGGACAACUAUUGGAAACGAUAGCUAAUACCGGAUAACAGUAUUUCUCGCAUGAGAGAUAUUUAAAAGUUGGUUAUGCUAACACUAUGAGAUGGCUUUGCGGUGCAUUAGCUAGUUGGUGGGGUAAAGGCCCACCAAGGCGACGAUGCAUAGCCGACCUGAGAGGGUGAUCGGCCACACUGGGACUGAGACACGGCCCAGACUCCUACGGGAGGCAGCAGUAGGGAAUCUUCCGCAAUGGGCGAAAGCCUGACGGAGCAACGCCGCGUGAGUGAAGAAGGAUUUCGGUUCGUAAAGCUCUGUUGUUAGGGAAGAAUGGAUAUGUAGUAACUAUACAUGUAAGAGACGGUACCUAACCAGAAAGCCACGGCUAACUACGUG